rnacentral:rRNA from 1 species
UACAGAGGUCUCAAGCGUUGUUCGGAUUCAUUGGGCGUAAAGGGCGCGUAGGCGGCGGGGUAAGUCGGGUGUGAAAUCUCAGAGCUCAACUCUGAAACUGCACUCGAUACUGCUAUGCUUGAGGACUGGAGAGGAGACUGGAAUUCACGGUGUAGCAGUGAAAUGCGCAGAUAUCAGGAGGAACACCAAUAGCGAAGGCAGCUCGCUGGGACGGUACUGACGCUAAGGCGCGAAAGCGUGGGGAGCGAACAGG